AAAGAGCAGAGAUGAAGCUCUCCUCUCUUCUUCCUUCUGGACUUCAGGUUUUGGUGUUCAGCUCCAUCACUGGAAAUUUUUGAAGUGCGUCUGGAUUUACAAAGUUCUCUGCACAGCAAAUGUUGAAAUGUACCUGAUGUGGGACAAGUGAAAAAAUAUAAAAAUUCUUA